rnacentral:rRNA from 1 species
GACGAACGCUGGCGGCGUGCCUAAUACAUGCAAGUAGGACGCAGUUGCGAACGGGUGAGUAACGCGUAGGUAACUACCUAUUAGCAGUGGAUAACUAUUGGAAACGCUAGCUAAUACCGCAUACUAGUAGAUGGACCUGCGUUGUUUUAGCUAGUAGGGAGGGUAAUGGCCUACCUAGGCAACGAUCCAUAGCCGACCUGAGAGGUGGAUCGGCCACACUGGGACUGAGACAAGGCCCAGACUCCUACGGGAGGCAGCAGUAGGGAAUCUUCGGCAAUGGGGGGAACCCUGACCGAGCAACGCCGCGUGAGUGAAGAAGGUUUUCGGAUCGUAAAGCUCUUUUGUUAAGGAAGCGGUACUUAACCAGAAAGGGACGGCUAACUACGUGCCAGCAGCCGCGGUAAUAC